GAUGAACGCUCGCUACAGGCUUAACACAUGCAAGUCGCGGGGCAGCAUGGGGGUUGCUUGCACUCCCCGAUGGCGACCGGCGCACGGGUGAGUAACGCGUAUCCAACCUGCCCUUCACCACGGGAUAACCCGGCGAAAGUCGGACUAAUACCGUAUGUUGUCCAUUGACGGCAUCCGAUUUGGACGAAAGGUUUGGCGGUGAAGGAUGGGGAUGCGUCCGAUUAGCUGGACGGCGGGGUGACGGCCCACCGUGGCGACGAUCGGUAGGGGUUCUGAGAGGAAGGUCCCCCACACUGGAACUGAGACACGGUCCAGACUCCUACGGGAGGCAGCAGUGAGGAAUAUUGGUCAAUGGGCGUAAGCCUGAACCAGCCAAGUAGCGUGCAGGAUGACGGCCCUAUGGGUUGUAAACUGCUUUUAUGCGGGGAUAAAGUGGCCCACGUGUGGGUUUUUGCAGGUACCGCAUGAAUAAGGACCGGCUAAUUCCGUG
rnacentral:rRNA from 1 species